rnacentral:rRNA from 1 species
AAUUUUGGACAAUGGGCGCAAGCCUCAUCCAGCCAUGCCGCGUGAGUGAACAAGGACGUCGAGUUGUAAAGCUCUCUUGGUCGGAAAGAAAACCCGCACACUGAUACCCUGCGCGGCUGACGGUAUCGUCAUAAGAUGCACCGGCUAACCACGUCUCAACAUGCGCGGUAAUACGUAGGGUGCGAGCGUUAAUCGGAAUUACUGGGCGUAAAGCGUGCGCAGGCGGUUGAAUAAGACAGGAGUGGAAUCCCCGGGCUUAACCUGGGAACUGCGCUUGUGACUGGUCAGCUAGAGUACGGCAGAGGGGGGUGGAAUUCCAAGUGUAGCAGUGAAAUGCGUAGAGAUGUGGAGGAACACCGAUGGCGAAGGCAGCCCCCUGGGCCGAUACUGACGCUCAUGCACGAAAGCGUGGGUAGCAAACAGG